rnacentral:rRNA from 1 species
GACGAACGCUGGCGGCGUGCCUAAUACAUGCAAGUAGAACGCUGAAGGAGGAGCUUGCUUCUCUGGAUGAGUUGCGAACGGGUGAGUAACGCGUAGGUAACCUGCCUGGUAGCGGGGGAUAACUAUUGGAAACGAUAGCUAAUACCGCAUAAGAGUAGAUGUUGCAUGACAUUUGCUUAAAAGGUGCAAUUGCAUCACUACCAGAUGGACCUGCGUUGUAUUAGCUAGUUGGUGGGGUAACGGCUCACCAAGGCGACGAUACAUAGCCGACCUGGGAGGGUGAUCGGCCACACUGGGACUGAGACACGGCCCAGACUCCUACGGGAGGCAGCAGUAGGGAAUCUUCGGCAAUGGACGGAAGUCUGACCGAGCAACGCCGCGUGAGUGGAGAAGGUUUUCGGAUCGUAAAGCUCUGUUGUAAGAGAAGAACGAGUGUGAGAGUGGAAAGUUCACACUGUGACGGUAUCUGACCAGAAAGGGACGGCUAACUACGUG